CUACGGGCUGCUCCAGUGAGGAAUAUUGCACAAUGGGGGGAACCCUGAUGCAGCAACGCCGCGUGGAGGAUGACGCAUUUCGGUGUGUAAACUCCUUUUAUAUGUCAAGAAAAUGACGGUAGCAUAUGAAUAAGCACCGGCUAACUCCGUGCCAGCAGCCGCGGUAAUACGGAGGGUGCAAGCGUUACUCGGAAUCACUGGGCGUAAAGGACGCGUAGGCGGGUUGGAAAGUCAGGUGUGAAAUCCUACAGCUUAACUGUAGAACUGCACUUGAAACUUCUAAUCUAGAGUAUGGGAGGGGGAGAUGGAAUUAGUGGUGUAGGGGUAAAGUCCGUAGAUGUCACUAGGAAUACCUAAAGCGAAGGCGAUCUCCUGGAACAUUACUGACGCUAAGGCGUGAAAGCGUGGGGAGCAAACAGGAUUAGAUACCCGAGUAGUU
rnacentral:rRNA from 1 species